UAAAGCAGCUAGCUCUCUGCAACUCUCACAUGGUCGCCCACUGAAGCUAAGCAGGGCUGCGCCUGGUCAGUACCUGGAUGGGAGACCACAUGGGAAAACUAGGUUGCUGCCAGAA
rnacentral:rRNA from 1 species